GUUUCUGUAGUGUAGUGGUCAUCACGUUCGCUUAACACGCGAAAGGUCUUCGGUUUGAAACCGGGAGGAAAAA
rnacentral:tRNA from 1 species